rnacentral:tRNA from 1 species
GGGGCUGUGGUUCAGUGAUAAGAGCGUUUGCGUGGCAUAUAGAAGGUUCCAGGUUCAAACCUCGGCAUCUCCA